CGGCGAGUAGCGCAGCUUGGUAGCGCAACUGGUUUGGGACCAGUGGUCGGAGGGUCGAAUCCUCUCUCGCCGACCA
rnacentral:tRNA from 1 species